rnacentral:rRNA from 1 species
UCCGUAGGUGGAUAAUUAAGUCAGAGGUGAAAGUUUGCAGCUCAACUGUAAAAUUGCCUUUGAUACUGGUUAUCUUGAGUUAUUGUGAAGUAGUUAGAAUAUGUAGUGUAGCGGUGAAAUGCAUAGAUAUUACAUAGAAUACCAAUUGCGAAGGCAGAUUACUAACAAUAUACUGACACUGAUGGACGAAAGCGUAGGUAGCGAACAGGAUUAGAUACCCUGGUAGUCC